CAUCCAUCCAUCCAUCCAUCCCAUCAUUCAACAAAGACGCGCCGGGUUCCUACUCUGUGCCCUGUGCCCUGCGCCAUGAGACCCGGGGCUGCGUUGCUCAAGGAGACAGACGCAGCGCCUUUUCAAGGGGAGGGGUCGAGGCAGCAGGAAGCAGUAAGGAGACGACGUCGUGGGUGUCUUCUUACCAACGGCGACAACCGCCUUCAAGGACAGAGCAGACGCUGUGCCGGAGAGGAAACAGGGGGACCAGGGCAGCCUUACCGAGACAGCCCGUGUCAACAGCCUCUGGUGCAUCCAUGCCUAAGUUCCUUCAUGUUCGUGCAUUCCUACCCAGACAUGCAGCCGCCCCCUGCAGGGCUGUACUGGUCGGUGAAUGUUGAAAGAGCUCCAGGCCUGUUGGUAAGUAGCUGCUUCUUCAAGACUCCUCGAUUCCCCCUGCCCCCUACCCUAGCCACUCCCCCAGGACCCCGGCUGGCUACUCAACCUGUGACAAUCGCUCUUGCAAGAGAGUGUGUGUGUGUGUGCGCACACGCGUCCGUGUCUCCCUGCACAUGCGUUUAUACACGUGGUCUGGGGGGGACAUGGUUUUUUUUAUAAAUGUGGGAUCACAUUCUACUUUCCUGCCUUUUGACACUCAACAAUGCUUCAGCGAAGUCCCUCCAAGUCACCUGAUAUGGCGCUUCCUCUUCGUAAAGGCUCCAUAGGAAACCACGGUGUGGAUGUACCGUAACGUGUGCAGCCAUUCUUCAUUUUCGUCCUAAGUGCUUUGGCAAUGUUUACAGGCAAUGAAGUGGGGCCCAGGAGAGACUAAAGAUGCAGAAGCGAGAAAGGAGGAGAUGGUGAGCGACCCCUGAGAAGUUGGGAAGGGGCGGGGAGAGGGGUUCAGCAUCAAUAGGAGGGAAGCGCCUUCACACAGUGGGUCAGUGCAGCUGCGAUGAGCAGAGUCUCUUCAACUGCGCCCAUUCAUUCUGGCCCCCAUCAAGGGACACUCCCUCCCACAGCCUAGGUGAGCUUCAUAAAAUGACGUGAUCUGC
rnacentral:lncRNA from 1 species